AACACAUGCAAGUCGAACGAUGAUCCCAGCUUGCUGGGAUUAGUGGCGAACGGGUGAGUAACACGUGAGUAACCUGCCCUUAACUCUGGGAUAAGCCUGGGAAACUGGGUCUAAUACCGGAUAUGACUCCUCAUCGCAUGGUGGGGGGUGGAAAGCUUUAUUGUGGUUUUGGAUGGACUCGCGGCCUAUCAGCUUGUUGGUGAGGUAAUGGCUCACCAAGGCGACGACGGGUAGCCGGCCUGAGAGGGUGACCGGCCACACUGGGACUGAGACACGGCCCAGACUCCUACGGGAGGCAGCAGUGGGGAAUAUUGCACAAUGGGCGAAAGCCUGAUGCAGCGACGCCGCGUGAGGGAUGACGGCCUUCGGGUUGUAAACCUCUUUCAGUAGGGAAGAAGCGAAAGUGACGGUACCUGCAGAAGAAGCGCCGGC
rnacentral:rRNA from 1 species